GCCAGUAUAGCAUAAUGAUUAGAGUGCUGGACUAUGACUCUGGAGACCAGGGUUCGAUUCUCCAUUCAGGCA